rnacentral:rRNA from 1 species
UACAGAGGUCUCAAGCGUUGUUCGGAUUCAUUGGGCGUAAAGGGUGCGUAGGUGGCUUGGUAAGUUGAAGGUGAAAUCUCGGGGCUUAACUCCGAAACUGCCUUCAAUACUGCUAGCUCGAGGAUUGUAGAGGAGAAUGGAAUUCACGGUGUAGCAGUGAAAAUGCGUAGAUAUCGUGAGGAAGACCAGUGGCGAAAGCGAUUCUCUGGGCAAUUCCUGACACUGAGGCACGAAGGCCCAGGGGGAGCAAA